ACGGGAGGCAGCAGUGGGGAAUAUUGGGCAAUGGGCGAAAGCCUGACCCAGCAACGCCGCGUGAAGGAAGAAGGCUUUCGGGUUGUAAACUUCUUUUAUCAGGGACGAUAAUGACGGUACCUGAUGAAUAAGCCACGGCUAACUACGUGCCAGCAGCCGCGGUAAUACGUAGGUGGCAAGCGUUAUCCGGAUUUAUUGGGUGUAAAGGGCGUGUAGGCGGAGCUGCAAGUCAGAUGUGAAAAUUAUGGGCUCAACCCAUAACCUGCAUUUGAAACUGUAGCCCUUGAGUGUCGGAGAGGUAAUCGGAAUUCCGUGUGUAGCGGUGAAAUGCGUAGAUAUACGGAGGAACACCAGUGGCGAAGGCGGAUUACUGGACGAUAACUGACGCUGAGGCGCGAAAGCGUGGGGAGCGAACAGGAUUAGAUACCCUGGUA
rnacentral:rRNA from 3 species